UGUGGUCACUGAACUUUCAUUUGCUGCUCAACGGUCACUGAACUUACAAACACACCACUCUAUCCAUUACCCAUUGCCCCAGCCGUUUGAACCCGUCUCAUGUGGCUUGACGGCAGGCGACGUGGUUGUCGACGGCGUCAAGCUCGGCCAUGGUGGAUGCGAUUUGACAGCCAAAACAAGAUCCUCUUCACCAUUUCCCAAUCCAUAAGUCUCUCAUCCCUAAUUUGAACACACAGCCCUAGAUUGAUUUCCUUCAAAAUCCUCCCCCAAAUCGAUUCUUCCACACUUGGUGAAAUUGGCAGAUCUUCAUCGCCUUCACAGUUACAUUAGACGUAGGUCGUCUCGUCAUCCUCGUCUUCCUCGCAACUACAUACUGAUUGUGCACACGAACCCACAUACUGGCAGGUGAAAGUUUUCAAAAUGCGAAAGAGGUGAAGAAUUAACAUCCUGAACUUCCAUGGUAAACUGGUCUCAUCCAGAGGUAAGGGACCUGCUUCGACCCAAAACCCAGUUGAAGAACAACCCAUGCAGUUCAUGCCUACCCUGAUGGUUGGAAGAUCCAUGCACAGGCAGAAGACAAAAUGAAGAAAAUGAUCGCAUGGACUGAUUUUGUAAACAUCAACGCAUGGACUGAUUUUGUAAACAUCAACGCAUGGACUGAUUGUGUAAACAUCAAUGUGGAUAUGGGAUUUAAAGUAUAUUGUAGUUUUUGUUUUGUGAACAAGGAUGUUAACCUUUUGCUGUUAGAACAGUAUAUAAUUCUUUGCAGUUUUUUAAGUUUUUCAAUGGAAGAUGCACAUUUACAUGUCA